rnacentral:lncRNA from 1 species
UCUGAGCGGGAGUCAGCCAUGGACUGGAAAGACGUGCUUCGUCGGCGGUUAGCGUCGCCCAACUCGGAUCCAAAGAGGAAAAAAAGCGAACAAGAAUUAAAAGAUGAAGAAAUGGAUUUGUUUACCAAAUACUACUCAGAAUGGAAAGGAGGUAGAAAAAACACAAAUGAAUUCUAUAAGACCAUUCCCCGGUUUUAUUACAGGUUGCCAGCUGAAGAUGAAGUCUUACUACAGAAAUUAAGAGAGGAAUCUAGAGCUGUCUUUCUACAGAGGAAAAGCAGAGAACUCUUAGAUAAUGAAGAAUUACAGGUAGGAGUGGUGUCAGAGUGGUUUAGAUGUUACCCAUUUACUUCUCCUAUGUAAGUCCUGCAGGAUGC